GACGAACGCUGGCGGCGUGCCUAAUACAUGCAAGUAGAACGCACAGUUUAUACCGUAGCUUGCUACACCAUAGACUGUGAGUUGCGAACGGGUGAGUAACGCGUAGGUAACCUGCCUGGUAGCGGGGGAUAACUAUUGGAAACGAUAGCUAAUACCGCAUAAUAUUAAUUAUUGCAUGAUAAUUAAUUGAAAGGUGCAAUUGCACCACUACCAGAUGGGCCUGCGUCGUAUUAGCUAGUAGGUGAGGUAACGGCUCACCUAGGCGACGAUACAUAGCCGACCUGAGAGGGUGAUCGGCCACACUGGGACUGAGACACGGCCCAGACUCCUACGGGAGGCAGCAGUAGGGAAUCUUCGGCAAUGGACGAAAGUCUGACCGAGCAACGCCGCGUGAGUGAAGAAGGUUUUCGGAUCGUAAAGCUCUGUUGUAAGAGAAGAACGGGUGUGAGAGUGGAAAGUUCACACUGUGACGGUAUCUUACCAGAAAGGGACGGCUAACUACGUG
rnacentral:rRNA from 1 species